UAGGGACGGACGGGUGAGUAACACGUGGGUAACCUGCCCAUAAGACUGGGAUAACUCCGGGAAACCGGGGCUAAUACCGGAUAACAUUUUGAACUGCAUGGUUCGAAAUUGAAAGGCGGCUUCGGCUGUCACUUAUGGAUGGACCCGCGUCGCAUUAGCUAGUUGGUGAGGUAACGGCUCACCAAGGCAACGAUGCGUAGCCGACCUGAGAGGGUGAUCGGCCACACUGGGACUGAGACACGGCCCAGACUCCUACGGGAGGCAGCAGUAGGGAAUCUUCCGCAAUGGACGAAAGUCUGACGGAGCAACGCCGCGUGAGUGAUGAAGGCUUUCGGGUCGUAAAACUCUGUUGUUAGGGAAGAACAAGUGCUAGUUGAAUAAGCUGGCACCUUGACGGUACCUAACCAGAAAGCCACGGCUAACUACGUGCCAGCAGCCGCGGUAAUACGUAGGUGGCAAGCGUUAUCCGGAAUUAUUGGGCGUAAAGCGCGCGCAGGUGGUUUCUUAAGUCUGAUGUGAAAGCCCACGGCUCAACCGUGGAGGGUCAUUGGAAACUGGGAGACUUGAGUGCAGAAGAGGAAAGUGGAAUUCCAUGUGUAGCGGUGAAAUGCGUAGAGAUAUGGAGGAACACCAGUGGCGAAGGCGACUUUCUGGUCUGUAACUGACACUGAGCGCGCGAAAGCGUGGGAGCAAACAGGAUUAGAUACCCUGGUAGUCCACGCCGUAAACGAUGAG
rnacentral:rRNA from 1 species